rnacentral:rRNA from 1 species
GACGAACGCUGGCGGCGUGCUUAACACAUGCAAGUCGAACGGGAACCUUUAUUUCGGUAAAGGUGAGAGUGGCAAACGGGUGAGUAACACGUAGGCAACCUGCCGACAGGAUGGGGACAACAUUCCGAAAGGAAUGCUAAUACCGAAUGGAGUCCGAGGAUGGCAUCAUCCCCGGAUCAAAGAUGGCCUCUUAACAAUGCUAUCGCCUGUCGAUGGGCCUGCGUCUGAUUAGCCAGUUGGCGGGGUAACGGCCCACCAAAGCGACGAUCAGUAGCCGGUCCGAGAGGAUGAACGGCCACAUUGGGACUGAGACACGGCCCAGACUCCUACGGGAGGCAGCAGUGGGGAAUCUUCCACAAUGGGCGAAAGCCUGAUGGAGCAACGCCGCGUGAGUGAAGAAGGUCUUCGGAUCGUAAAGCUCUGUUGCACGGGACGAAAACCGGGUUUGAGAAUAUGAACCUGGGGACGG